rnacentral:lncRNA from 1 species
AUAGUUUGAAAUAUUGAGCUUCACCCUUCACCUCAGCUUAAUAAAAUUAGCUACUCAUAUUGAAAGAAAACACAACACUCUUUUUAUUUGAUAAACUUUUUGAAAUAUAUUAAAAAGAAAAUUGAUACAAACGGAAACAAGAAAAGAAAAGAAAGAAAGAUAGAAAUUCUUCAGUCUCGGCUUCAACUCUCAAAAUAGCUCUCUAGCUUCUGGCCCUCGGCUCUCGCGUCCCCUCUGGCUUGCAUCCCCUUGCCUUUUAUAGGCAAGGGAAUCGUCUUAUUUUAUUUUAUUUUAUUUUGAUAUUAUAUAUACAUAUUGAAUUGUGUGAUGGUGAGGAGGCGUGAUGGCCUCCUGACCAUCACAGCAACCAAAACAUGGUUGCCUUUUGCUUUUUUGUCCUUUUUUUGUUUUUAUUUUAUUUUAUUUAUUAUUUAUUAUUUAUUAUUACAUCUUUUCAAUUGUAUUCCAGUAGUUCUUCUUUGUUCCCGCUUUCAUCUUUAUUCCUGAAAAUUAUUUAUAAGAUAAAAAUUAACAAAUUACAAAUUAAUUUAACAUAAAAUAUAUUUGGGGAGUAUUAAAAUAAUUUAGAAAUAAUGAACGCAUUAAUCAACACAAUAAGUGAAAAACUAAUAAUUUUAUUCUUAGUAAAUGUACACUUAUUAGUGUCAAUCAGAAGUAGUGUAGUUCAUGUGAGAAACUCUAAAAACUAAAAAUAGACCAGACCAUAGCAAGUUAGAGACCAUCAUAUCAAGGCAUCUCCAUGUGUGCCCAUUUAUCCAAGUAAAAGAACUCUUAAUAAAGCUAGUAUCCUUCAAACCACAAUCCAAUAAAACAAAGUUAAAAGCAUCCAACGGAGUCUAAGGCUGAGCAUGCCCACUAGAAAUCUCAGACAAUGAUAAAAUCCCCUAAAUCAUUCAAGGGCUAUUAUGAGUGUCAGCAAAUACUAUAAGGGCAUCCCAUAAAUCCUCGUACAUAGAAAUAGAAAAAAUAACAUAUACAUAGGAAAUUAAAACAAGAUCAAGUAAAAAAAAUAUGAGUAACUCAGUAAUGAAUCAUAUGAUCGGCGUCCAGAAUCAUCUCUACAUAAAACGGGAAGACUAGAGCACCUAAAUCUUCCUAAACUAAGAAAACAAGGCCCUCUUCAUCCCUAAAUGAACUUUAGCAAAAUCUUGUUCAGCUACAUUCAAAAAUAGCUCCAAAAUACAAACCAACAAUAAUCGGUGUAUUGGAAACAAUUUUAAUCUAUGAACUUCGGAGGCCUUAUUAAUCCCUUGAAUAUUCCAAAUAAUAGAUUUAAUCAUUAGGAGGGGAAAAUCUAGAAGGUAGCAUAUGCUUUUUUGUGUUAAAGUACUUCUAACCAAUGAUAAAAGAAAACUCCUAAGAAGAACUAACAAUUCGUUGGCAAUCAAAAUUUUCAAUCACAACAUUAGAAUAAGAAGGGGUACAACAUUAUCGGGAUCAUAUAAAAACUUACCAUCAUCUUUACCAGACUCUUCAGAGCUAAAAUCCAAAUUUGAGUAGGAUAAGCUAAGGCAACCAUCCCUACCUGCUAUAUAUGCCUCCGAAAUACUGUUAAGUAUUGGAAAAUACAUAUUUACAUAUGAUAAGUUUGUCAUUUUAUACUCCAAGUCUCACUAACAUUUUCACUUUUAUGUAUUUAAAUUCUAUUAUGUGUGUUUUAUUAUAAUUUAAGUAUUUUAAGGAUAUUUUAGUUAUUUCACAACUAACGAGAAGUCAGACAAUGAAACAAAUGGCGAUUUUGAACUCAGGACGGUUGAAACCUUAAGAAGAGCAUAAAAAGAUAUUUGGUAUUGUUCAUGUUUAUGGUAUUGUUCACAUAUAUGAUAUUAUUCACAAGUAUGACAUUGUUCACAUAUCGGUACGAUGACGUGGCAUUGACCGAUGAAGUGGCAGUAUCCUAUUGAGCCAAUGAUGUGGCGUUGACCGAUGAUAUGGCAAAAUCUUAUUGGACCGAAAUGCUGAUGUGGUGUUGACUAAUGAUGUGUUCCAACCAAUCAAAACUUACCACAUGGCGCAAUCCUGGGUGUCUGAAUUGUUUUCAUCUGAUGAUCAUGAUUUAUCUAUUGUAUCUAUAAAUAAAGGGCUCCCCUCUAAUUUGAGACCCUUGAAUCUAAUUUUUAGUCCCAUUUUAUGCAAUUCUCUCUCAAUCUUGUAUGUUCUUUUUACAUAUUUUAGUAAAAUUACCAUUUUAUCUAUAGUUCAAUUAUGAGUGGCUAAUUUAGUUUCAAGUUUAAAUUGAAAGUGAAGCCUCAAUAUGAUCUAUGGGCUUAAUUAAGUAAAUUUGUUUUUUUUUCCUCUUUGAUUUAUGUGGUUGUUUUGACUCAUUAUUGACAGACAGUGUAUCAUAUCUAGAUUUUGCAUGGUAUACUGGCUCCUUAGUGAAGGUUCGUUACUGUCUGGCACAAUAAGUACUUAGCACCAUAUUAAUUAGAGAAGAAAAUUUCCCUCUAGUAUUUUGUGGGUGGUCUUCACUCAGAGUUGACAAAAAGUGUAUCUAAGCUAUUUAGUGGAUGGUCUUGCCACGAUUAUCGUCUAGCACAACGUGUUCUUGACACUACACUUAAUGGAAGAUCAUUACCUCUGACACACUGAGUGCUUGAUACCAUAUUUAUUAGAGUGGGGAUUAUAAGGAGUGGAAAUAUCCCCCUCAUGAAUUAAUUGGAACUAAAAAGGAAAUAUUAAGCCCAUGGUGAAUGUUUAGUGUAAAUCCAGAGACUUAAACGUUUUAUCUGCAUUGGUUUCAUUUUUAAUUCAUUCCCGCCUUUUUAUUUUAAAUCUUAAGAUAAAAAAAAAUCACUUCCAACCAACUCACAUUUACACCUAAAAAAUUAACUAUACGCAUAAUUAAAUCUACCUCCUCAUGGGAUCGAUAUUCGUCAUCACAAAAAUAUAUUCUAUAAUAAAUUUGUGCGCUUGCAAAUACAAUAAAAUUUACACAACAAAUACUUUGUAAACAAGUUGUGUCAUUAGUAAGUUUUGAAAAAGCACUAGGACAAGCUAGACCAUCAAUACCAUCAAUGUUAGGCCGAUCCCAGCCAACCAAAUCAACUCAUCAAUCCAAGCACCUAAAUUAGGAAUUCUCACAUCCAUGGAUGCACCCUCAAUACCGAUAGGCCUUGAAGGCCGAAUCUCCUCCCUCAACAUAGGCUUCUAAGCCAAAUUAAAAGGAUUUGGCCCUUUGGGUUGAUUAUUAGUAACAAUAACAUUAGCAAACUUUGGUUGUUUACUCUUAUCUCUAGCACUUGUAUAUUGUGCUUUCCCAGUAGGUUGUUGGGGGUUUAUGAAGGCCAACAUUAGCAACAUAACAAUUAUCUGUUGUGUGGCCCAAAUGCUGGCAAGCAGCACAAUAGUCGGGAAUCCACUCAAAAACAACAUCAUAGCAAACUAGAAUCACCCUCACCUAUCCAAAUUCGUGGCAUCCAAACUUCAUACUCCAUAAGAACCCUAUCAAUAGAUGGCCUAUUAACUGAGACUGUGGCAUGAUCCGCAGGCAAAAAAAUACCAACAACAACAGUAAUUGAAAAUAAAGUAGGCUUUUAGUGAAUAAAAUGCACAAGCAAGUAAGGAAAAUAGACCUAACAGAACAAUAAGAGAUUCAACCGAGUAACGGAGAAUGAGAAUUGAAGUCAUCAUUUUAAACUAUAACUUAGAUUAAUUACAUGGAUGAAGAUCCUUGUUUAGCUGUUGAAGGCAUUGUUUUGCAAUUAGCAAUAUAACUUGAAUUCCCUCACUUUUAAAAGCUACUUUCGCCCAACUAGAAAAUCAAAGAUUGAAGGUUACAACAACUUAGAAAUCUCAAUACAUGAAUUGGAUUUAUUUCAUUUAAUUGUAUAAUUUAAUUGUUUGUAGAGAUAUUCAUAAAAAGAUUUAGAAAAUAAUUCUAGGGUUUAGGGGAUGAAGAUAGACGAUAAAGAAAAAAAAAAGAGUUUAGAUAGGGAUGUAGAGAGUAAAUUAUUUCAUUUAAUUGCAUAAUUUUAUCCUUAAUGGUAAAUUCAUUAAUAGACAUUUUGGUAAUAAAUAUUUUAAUGUAAAAAUAGGUUUGAAGAGUAUUUUGGUGGAUUCAAAUAAACCCUCCAAAUAGAAACCUUUGCAUAUUUUAGUAAAAGAUAAAAAUACUCCCAAAUUUUUAAUUUGUGGAGUAUUAAGGACCAGUUUGAUAAUAUUGUAACUUCUAAAAUAAUUGUUGUCAACUGUACUGUAAAAAUAAUCAGCAGUGAAGAGAAUCAGUUAAACGUUUGGUAAAAUUUAUUUUUAAAAGUGCUGUAAGUUUUAAAAACAGUGUUAUAUGUUUAGUAGAUUUC